rnacentral:tRNA from 1 species
GAGGCCCUAACUUAAUUAAAGUAUCUGGGUUGCAUUCAGGAGAUGCAGGUUAGUAUCCUGCGGGUCUUA